GGAGAGUUGACCGAGUGGUUGAAGGUGGUGCCCUGCUAAGGCAUUGUGCGGGAAACUGUACCGAGGGUUCGAAUCCCUCACUCUCCGCCA
rnacentral:tRNA from 1 species